rnacentral:lncRNA from 1 species
GAAUUAAACUCCUAACCUAUUAAGUAUUUGAUCAGAUAAGGGUGUCUACAUCUAUUUAAAUGGAGGGAACCUCAUCACUAAUAAUCAAGUCUUUGGUUUGCGUGACAAAAUAAAAGAAAGAGAGAAAGAUUAUCGUGAGAUAGGGAGAGGUUUUGUGCGAAAAGAGAGAGAGAGAGGGCAUCCUUCUUAUUUGCAUGCAGUUCUUGGUGCACCCCUUCUAAGUGUAAGGAACUUCAUCAGAGGUGUCCCCUAUUGUGAGAUUAGAUCUCCUCCCUUUUCUUGAUUCCCUUCUGAAGUAUUGGUGCAAGAUCUUCAUCUCUCUUUCCUGUGGGGCUU